GUUGACCUCGGAUCAGGUAG
rnacentral:rRNA from 53 species